ACAGCCCAAACUUAAAAAUCGAAAAUGUUUCCACUAAGAAAAAUUUUCUAAGAAAUUGGGUUGGAAAAAGUUGGCUCGACGGCGGUGGUCAGAACGGAGCGAGGAGCUUAUAACAAGUGCUGACUCCCGGUGCUUAGCAGCUAAUGCAUUUGUAUAAAGAGGUCGCACAUUAUGGGAGAAAGAGAAAUAGGGACAGGAAGCCUCUGCACGCAUAUGAGAAGUACGCCCGGUCGAGACAAGGCCUGGCAAACUCUCGUAUUCGCUGGAGUUUCUCAACCCGACUGAUAAACGGAUUGCCAUCUACAAUAGCUGAGUACAUGGACCAAAACACAAUCCAUUCGGAAUAGCCGACGCAGAAUUUAGGAAGCGAUAACUUCUGGAAUUUGACGCGGGGCUACCGUUAACUACCGUCGAGUCGGACAGAAAAGUGGAGAGCAGGAUUACUCCCUCUUUGAUGCGCAACUGGGUCCUCAGCUCUCCAAAAUGUAUUUCGCCGAACGCUUUGCUUUGACUUCGAGGGGCCUUCACUAUUUUAAAAUUGUGGCGCAUUUCCUGCAAAUCCUCAUGAAUGACGACAUUUUUUUGACAAAAAAAACAACACUAACCACAGCUUAGAUAUUGAUGCUUCAAUGUUAUUUAACUGUUUAUAUUGCACUACAAAUAUUUGACCGAGAAAUUUAA